UACGUAGGGUGCGAGCGUUGUCCGGAAUUAUUGGGCGUAAAGAGCUUGUAGGCGGUCUGUCGCGUCUGCUGUGAAAAUCCGGGGCUCAACCCCGGACUUGCAGUGGGUACGGGCAGACUAGAGUGUGGUAGGGGAGACUGGAAUUCCUGGUGUAGCGGUGGAAUGCGCAGAUAUCAGGAGGAACACCGAUGGCGAAGGCAGGUCUCUGGGCCACUACUGACGCUG
rnacentral:rRNA from 1 species